AACUAUAUAGUCUAAUUAGGAUAAUAAAUUGCAAAUUUAUAGGUAAAGUUUUUUAUAGUUU
rnacentral:tRNA from 1 species